rnacentral:rRNA from 1 species
AGAGUUUGAUCAUGGCUCAGAUUGAACGCUGGCGGCAGGCCUAACACAUGCAAGUCGAGCGGAUGAAGGGAGCUUGCUCCUGGAUUCAGCGGCGGACGGGUGAGUAAUGCCUAGGAAUCUGCCUGGUAGUGGGGGAUAACGUCCGGAAACGGGCGCUAAUACCGCAUACGUCCUGAGGGAGAAAGUGGGGGAUCUUCGGACCUCACGCUAUCAGAUGAGCCUAGGUCGGAUUAGCUAGUUGGUGGGGUAAAGGCCUACCAAGGCGACGAUCCGUAACUGGUCUGAGAGGAUGAUCAGUCACACUGGAACUGAGACACGGUCCAGACUCCUACGGGAGGCAGCAGUGGGGAAUAUUGGACAAUGGGCGAAAGCCUGAUCCAGCCAUGCCGCGUGUGUGAAGAAGGUCUUCGGAUUGUAAAGCACUUUAAGUUGGGAGGAAGGGCAGUAAGUUAAUACCUUGCUGUUUUGACGUUACCAACAGAAUAAGCACCGGCUAACUUCGUGCCAGCAGCCGCGGUAAUACGAAGGGUGCAAGCGUUAAUCGGAAUUACUGGGCGUAAAGCGCGCGUAGGUGGUUCAGCAAGUUGGAUGUGAAAUCCCCGGGCUCAACCUGGGAACUGCAUCCAAAACUACUGAGCUAGAGUACGGUAGAGGGUGGUGGAAUUUCCUGUGUAGCGGUGAAAUGCGUAGAUAUAGGAAGGAACACCAGUGGCGAAGGCGACCACCUGGACUGAUACUGACACUGAGGUGCGAAAGCGUGUGGAGCAAACAGGAUUAGAUACCCUGGUAGUCCACGCCGUAAACGAUGUCGACUAGCCGUUGGGAUCCUUGAGAUCUUAGUGGCGCAGCUAACGCGAUAAGUCGACCGCCUGGGGAGUACGGCCGCAAGGUUAAAACUCAAAUGAAUUGACGGGGGCCCGCACAAGCGGUGGAGCAUGUGGUUUAAUUCGAAGCAAUGCGAAGAACCUUACCUGGCCUUGACAUGCUGAGAACUUUCCAGAGAUGGAUUGGUGCCUUCGGGAACUCAGACACAGGUGCUGCAUGGCUGUCGUCAGCUCGUGUCGUGAGAUGUUGGGUUAAGUCCCGUAACGAGCGCAACCCUUGUCCUUAGUUACCAGCACCUCGGGUGGGCACUCUAAGGAGACUGCCGGUGACAAACCGGAGGAAGGUGGGGAUGACGUCAAGUCAUCAUGGCCCUUACGGCCAGGGCUACACACGUGCUACAAUGGUCGGUACAAAGGGUUGCCAAGCCGCGAGGUGGAGCUAAUCCCAUAAAACCGAUCGUAGUCCGGAUCGCAGUCUGCAACUCGACUGCGUGAAGUCGGAAUCGCUAGUAAUCGUGAAUCAGAAUGUCACGGUGAAUACGUUCCCGGGCCUUGUACACACCGCCCGUCACACCAUGGGAGUGGGUUGCUCCAGAAGUAGCUAGUCUAACCGCAAGGGGGACGGUUACCACGGAGUGAUUCAUGACUGGGGUGAAGUCGUAACAAGGUA